rnacentral:lncRNA from 1 species
AGUAAACAAAAAUAUUACUAAAAUUCUCUAAAGUUGUCUACUAUUUUCUUUAAUUUUGAUAUUAAUAUUUUGUCUUUAUUUUAUAACACGUUAUUAGCAGGAGACUCUAUUAUCUCAAAAAUUAAGGAAAAAAAGGGAAAUAAAAUUGAAAGGUGGAGAAGGCAAGAAUGCAAGAGCUAUGCGAUCAUCAUGAUUUGGAUUUCACAUUUCUACUAUUUAUGAUAAGAUAAGGCCAUUAUUAACUCGUGUUAUUUAAUUAAGUUUGAAAAGAAUAUUGAUAAUUACAAGGUGGUGAUAUUGUUAUAGGCUCAAGUAUGAGUUUAUUAUACUUUGGCCUAAUGUGUGAUUGGUCGAGGGUGUGACGACUCAUGCCAUUAAGAGGGUAAGAUACCGG